rnacentral:piRNA from 1 species
UCAUAGAGAUGAACAUUUGGGGCUAAUGG